GCAGUGAUGGCGCAGUGGCUAACGCUUCUGUCAAACGUUCUUUUGGCACUGGUUCGAAUCCAGUUAGCUUAU